rnacentral:rRNA from 1 species
UACGUAGGGGGCUAGCGUUGUCCGGAAUCAUUGGGCGUAAAGCGCGCGUAGGCGGCCCGGUAAGUCCGCUGUGAAAGUCAAAGGCUCAACCUUUGAAUGUCAGCGGAUACUGCCGGGCUAGAGUCCGGAAGAGGCGAGUGGAACUCCUGGUGUAGCGGUGGAAUGCGCAGAUAUCAGGAGGAACACCGGUGGCGAAGGCGGGUCUCUGGGCCGGUACUGACGCUGAGGAGCGAAAGCGUGGGGAGCGAACAGG